CCUACGGGGGGCAGCAGUCGAGAAUUAUUCACAAUGGGGGAAACCCUGAUGGUGCGACGCCGCGUGGGCGAAUGAAGGUCUUCGGAUUUUAAACCCCUGUCAUGUGGGAGCAAAUUAAAAAGAUAGUACCACUAGAGGAAGAGACGGCUAACUCUGUGCCCGCAGCCGCGGUAAUACAGAGGUCUCAAGCGUUGUUCGGGAUCACUGGGCGUAAAGCGUGCGUAGGCUGUUUCGUAAGUCGUGUGUGAAAUGCGCGGGCUCAACCCGCGGACGGCACAUGAUACUGCGAGACCAGAGUAAUGGAGGGGGAAGCGGAAUUCUCGGUGUAGCAGUGAAAUGCGUAGAUAUAGAGAGGAACACUAGAGGCGAAGGCGGGUUCCUGGACAUUAACUGACGCUGAGGCACGAAGGCCAGGGGAGCGAAAGGGAUUAGAUACCCUUGUAGUC
rnacentral:rRNA from 1 species